AUUGAACGCUGGCGGAAUGCUUUACACAUGCAAGUCGAACGGUAGAGGGGGCAACCCCUUGAGAGUGGCGAACGGGUGAGUAAUAUAUCGGAACGUGCCCAGUCGUGGGGAUAACGUAGCGAAAGUUACGCUAAUACCGCAUACGAUCUACGGAUGAAAGCGGGGGACUCGCAAGAGCCUCGCGCGAUUGGAGCGGCCGAUAUCAGAUUAGGUAGUUGGUGAGGUAAAGGCUCACCAAGCCGACGAUCUGUAGCUGGUCUGAGAGGACGACCAGCCACACUGGGACUGAGACACGGUCCAGACUCCUACGGGAGGCAGCAGUGGGGAAUAUUGGACAAUGGGCGAAAGCCUGAUCCAGCCAUGCCGCGUGUGUGAAGAAGGUCUUCGGAUUGUAAAGCACUUUAAGUUGGGAGGAAGGGUAGUAACCUAAUACGUUGCUACUUGACGUUACCGACAGAANAAGCACCGGCUAACUUCGUGCCAGCAGCCGCGGU
rnacentral:rRNA from 1 species